rnacentral:misc_RNA from 1 species
AAAUGCGAUAAGUAAUGUGAAUUGCAGAAUUCAGUGAAUCAUCGAAUCUUUGAAAGCACAUUGCGCCCGCCAGCACUCUGGCGGGCAUGCCUGUUCGAGCGUCAUUUCAACCCUCAGAACCCCUUGCGGGAUCUGGCGUUGGGGAUUGGCAUCCAGCCAGCCCCGAAAUCUAGUGGCGGUCCCUCCGCGACCUCCCCUGUGCAGUAGCGAUACCUCGCAGCGGGACAGCGGUCUGACCACGCCGUAAAACCCCCAACUUCUCAAGGUUGACCUCGAAUCAGGUAGGAAUACCCGCUGAACUUAAGC